GCUCGGAUGGUGGAAUGGUAGACACGCAAGCUUGAGGUGCUUGUGCUGAGAGGCGUGGGGGUUCAAGUCCCCCUUCGAGCA
rnacentral:tRNA from 1 species